rnacentral:rRNA from 1 species
GAUGAACGCUGGCGGCGUGCCUAAUACAUGCAAGUCGAGCGAACGGACGAGAAGCUUGCUUCUCUGAUGUUAGCGGCGGACGGGUGAGAAACACGUGGAUAACCAACCCAUAAGACUGGGAUAACUUCGGGAAACCGUAGCUAAUACCGGAUAAUAUUUUGAACCGCAUGGUUCAAAAGUGAAAGACGGUCUUGCUGUCACUUAUAGAUGGAUCCGCGCUGCAUUAGCUAGUUGGUAAGGUAACGGCUUACCAAGACAACGAUGCAUAGCCGACCUGAGAGGGUGAUCGGCCACACUGGAACUGAGACACGGUCCAGACUCCUACGGGAGGCAGCAGUAGGGAAUCUUCCGCAAUGGGCGAAAGCCUGACGGAGCAACGCCGCGUGAGUGAUGAAGGUCUUCGGAUCGUAAAACUCUGUUAUUAGGGAAGAACAUAUGUGUAAGUAACUGUGCACAUCUUGACGGUACCUAAUCAGAAAGCCACGGCUAACUACGUG